GCACAUAAACCGGUAGAGUAAUUUUAAUCCAGCAAUGUGGCUGUUCUGGCAAAGGAUCAAAGAUCCAGAUAGUAACAGGUUUCACUGUGACAUCUUCACAGUCACAGGACACAUAUAGGAAGAGGAUGGAAGAGCGGAAAAGCCAGGGAUGAGGAAGAGCACUGUGAAGUACUGUCCUCUAGACAGCAUGGCUACUGCACACAUGAACUCAAGCAGCUCUGUCUACUUGCACCAGACCAAGCCAGUUAAAACUUCCAGAAUGGAGGGAGGGGAGUUCCCAUAGCUCCUCUCGAGCUUAAGACCUAUUGAUACUUUAUAACCUCUGAG